rnacentral:rRNA from 1 species
GACGAACGCUGGCGGCGUGCUUAACACAUGCAAGUCGAGCGAUGAAGCUUCUUCGGAAGUGGAUUAGCGGCGGCCGGGUGAGUAACACGUGGGCAUCCUGCCUUGUAGAGGGGGAUAGCCUUCCGAAAGGAAGACUAAUACCGCAUAACAUAGCGAACACGCAUGGGUUGACUAUCAAAGAUUUAUCGCUACAGGAUGGGCACGCGUCGCAUUAGCAAGUUGGUGAGGUAACGGCUCACCAAGGCCACAAUGCGUAGCCGACCUGAGAGAGUGAGCGGCCACAUUGGAACUAAGACACGGUCCAGAAUCCUACGGGAGGCAGCAGUGGGGAAUAUUGCACAAUGGGCGAAAGCCUGAUGCAGCAACGCCGCGUGAGUGAUGAAGGUCUUCGGAUUGUAAAGCUCGUUGAUUAGGGACGAUAAUGACGGUACCUAAAGAACAAGCCACGGCUAACUACGUGCCAGCAGCCGCCGUAA